GGCCUUGUAGCUCAGUGGUUAGAGCACUGGUCUAGUAAACCAGGGGUUGUGAGUUCAAUUCUCAUGAAGUCCU